GUAGUGGUGGCUGAACGGUUAAGGCUCUGGGUUACUGAUCAGGAGGUCGGGGGGUUCAAGUCCCAGCACUGCUAAG